ACGUAGGCUAGGUAAUUUGCUUUGUGGGUUGGUUAGCUUUGUUUGGCAAACACUGAAUUAGACGACAUCAUCAACCUACUCUUUACAAUACUGACUGAUCAAAUAAGGAUGAUGAAUGCUCAGAGACAUUUCUUAGAAGACAUCUUACAACGCAGGAGGGAUGCCGCUUACUUCUAUCCACCCCAGUCUGACCAACGCUCUACAACCUGCGCCUCACCUGUUUCCAGUGGCAGUUUUUCAUCCAACGAGAGACUGGGCCGACGGAAGGGCAGAGGUGGUCGCGGACACGCGCACCGACGAGAUGCCGCACCCGACCGGGUAAGAAGAAACUACUACCAGAGGUAGAGGGGCCCGUUCACAAGGUCCCAGAACCUAUGGGACUGGGUGUCUUUAAUUUAUCAAGCAAGAUCUUGAGCCCUGCCCAUAUCUCCUUGCUUAAUAAAGGGUUAUAUUUUGUGCCUACUGACACCAGCA